AGGCCUACCUUGACCUUCGCCAAGGACACCAACAAGGGUGAUGACCGGCCAUACUGCAUCAACAUCCCGGUCAAGAGAGAGACCAGCUGUCCAGAUAAUAGAGACAAGACCAAGCUGGAGCUUUGCAUUGAGAAAGCCAGUGCUGACAGAAUGAAGAAACUCCUCCUUGAGAAGGAACCCGAACCCUUCUGGAUGAAGGGAUGGAUGGCAAUGAUGGAGGAGGAAAGUA